CAUCCAGUGAAUUGACCUCAACUGCAUUGUGUGGCAGAGAAUUCCACUGAUUCACAACUCUUGGUGAAGAAGUUUUCCUCAUCUCAGUCCUAAAUGGGCUACCCCUUAUUCUUGAACUGUGACCCCUGGUUCUGGACUCCCCCAACUAAUCAAUCAGAGAUGAGAGAGACAUUUGGAACUCGAUUUCUAAGUGGAAGUGAACGUGAUUUGCUGCUUACACUGCUGAUUUCUAUAUAUUACCAGAGAAGUCUGAAAAACAGUAUAGAAAAAGAAAUAGGUGAUACAAGUGCUGUAAACUCUCUGACUCUAAAGCUAUAACUCCAACUCCAAGUGAUUGGCUUUCCAUGUUUCAUUGGAUGUGUGUACAUCUCAAAAGCUGUCGUUAGUUUCUUGGCACAACAAGAAUAACUGGUUACAGUUGUGACUACAAAAUGCAUGCCAUUGUCAAAUAUCCCAAAAUACCAUGAUAUCUUUAAAUAUUCAAGAUAGACACAAGGUGCUGGAGUAACUCAGCGGAUCAGGCAACAUAUUUGGAGAAACAGGAUAGGCGAUGUUUCGGGUCGAGACCCAACUUCCAGACCGGAAAUGUCAUCUAUCAUUUUUCUCCGGAGAUGCUGCCUGACCCACUGAGUUACUCCAGCACUGUGUCUAUCUUUGAUAUAAACCACCUUCUGCAGUUCUUUGUUUCUAUCUUUACGUAUUGUUGAGACACAAGAGACUACAGGUACUGUAAUGUUGAGCGUAAAAACAAAAUGCUGGAGGAACUCUGUAGGUCACGCAGCAUCUGUGGAGAGAGAUGGUCAAAGUGGAGAAAUGAGACAUUGUAUCAGGACUUCGUGGGUUACUGAUGCAAGGCAUGGACCCAAUAUGUUGACCAUCUCUCGGCUGCCGCAGAUGUCGCCUGAUCCACCAAAUUUGCAUUCAAUGAGAUGGAAUGGUCCAUGUUUGAAAAUGCGAUUUCUGGAACAUUAUCAUAUUUUUAAACAUGAUAACUUCAGGAUGGUUUGGGAUGCAUUUUAUUCGUGGAUUAGAAAUUAGUCAGUGUCCAGUUUGUCAAACGUCAGCAUCUGUUUCUGUGUCUCCUGUUCGUUCCAGCAAGUUGAACUGCUUUAUCGCCACUAUUUUCUAUGAUUCAUUGAAGUACAAGUUAAAUUAGGAUCUCUACAAUUGAUGGAUUUUUCAGAUUUACCAGAAUGAUGUAGGAUUGUACCAAUUCUUGCACAAUUUACACAUUAAAUUCCAGUUAAGAAUGAUAUACAAAAUAGCUGGAGAUCCAAUUUACAUAUAGAAGCCCACUGCAAUUCAAUACUCAUCUUCUAGCUUUAUAAACUAAUGCCAUUUAUUUGCAAGCUCACAAAGAAUAAUGUUUCCUAAGUUUUAUUUUACUAGGACGGUAUCCCGUUAAGUGGAUUUUUUUUAAAUUCUCAUUGCAAGUGCAACGAAGGGUAGAAUUAAUGUGAAAACACUGCCAUGGAUGAGCCAGUCCCAUAUCAUCACUGCUGCAUGCAACUCACUUUAAAAAGACGAAUCUCAGUUGUAAAUAGGCAGAAAGAGGAACAGCAACAAUUUGGCAUUGUUUCCUCUGUAAAUAUGAUGUCAUUGUUUUCAAUUACCUUUUUACUACAUAUGUCACCAACUAAAUAUAAAUGUAUUAUUCAUUCUGAUUCCAACCCUUGAGCAAGUAUUACAUUGAUGAAAUAAGCAGCCAUUCUCCAGAGAAUACUGUGGGUGCUCAAAAUAUCAAAUUAUAUAUGAUCUGUUAACCCUCUCAAAAUUCCCAGUUAAUAGAAACAGAGUGGAGUGGUGUCUUGUAAUAUUCCUCGCCAUGUCUUGUUAUCCUCACCAUUUUUGUGAAUUGCUUACUCUUAUGCAAGCAAAUAAUUAUAUCUGCAAUCAUUCAUUACGCAGUGCUAUGUAUAUAUUGAGUGUACCUGGAGGAAGUGUCAACUGUCUAAAAUCAAUUCAUUUACCUAUUCAUUUGAAGGAAUGAAAGAGCUUAUGACUGUUUUUAAAUUAAACGAAAAUAUGAAUUAUCUUGAUGUUAUUUCAAAA